AGAGUUUGAUCAUGGCUCAGGACGAACGCUGGCGGCGUGCCUAACACAUGCAAGUCGAACGGUCUAGUGUCCAGCACCGAGUGCUUUUAGGAGCUUCGAUGUUGGUGCCAGCGAGAGCGCGAACGAAGAGAGCGCUCCACGCAUUCAAAAAGGUCCAACACAACGCUUGAAAGAGCCAUCGGUGUUGGAUGCUAGAUAGUGGCGGACGGGUGAGUAACACGUGGAUAACCUGCCUGACAGCCUGGGACAACACCCCGAAAGGGGUGCUAAUACCGGAUAUGCUCACGGCCUCGCAUGGGGCCGGGAGGAAAGGCUGAGGUCACUGUCAGAUGGGUCCGCGGCCCAUUAGCUAGUUGGUGAGGUAACGGCCCACCAAGGCGACGAUGGGUAGCCGGCCUGAGAGGGCGAUCGGCCACACUGGAACUGAGACACGGUCCAGACUCCUACGGGAGGCAGCAGUCGGGAAUUUUGGGCAAUGGGGGAAACCCUGACCCAGCAACGCCGCGUGAGUGAAGAAUGCCUUCGGGUUGUAAAGCUCUGUUGCCCGGGAAGAACGGGCAGGUUUGAAGCCUGCCGUGACGGUACCGGGUGAGGAAGCCCCGGCUAACUACGUGCCAGCAGCCGCGGUAAUACGUAGGGGGCGAGCGUUGUCCGGAGUUAUUGGGCGUAAAGGGCGCGUAGGCGGCCUGGUAAGUCUGAGGUGAAACGCCGCAGCUCAACUGCGGACUGGCCUUGGAAACUGUCGGGCUUGAGGGAGCCAGAGGAGUGCGGAAUUCCCGGUGUAGCGGUGAAAUGCGUAGAGAUCGGGAGGAACACCAGUGGCGAAGGGCGGCACUCUGGGGCUCAACUGACGCUGAGGCGCGAAAGCUAGGGGAGCAAACGGGAUUAGAUACCCCGGUAGUCCUAGCUGUAAACGAUGGGUACUAGGUGUGGGAGGUAUCGACCCCUUCCGUGCCGGAGCUAACGCAAUAAGUACCCCGCCUGGGGAGUACGGCCGCAAGGUUGAAACUCAAAGGAAUUGACGGGGGCCCGCACAAGCGGUGGAGCAUGUGGUUUAAUUCGACGCAACGCGAAGAACCUUACCAGGGCUUGACAUCCUCUGUAAGACGUGGAGACACGUUCCCCUAUGGAGCAAUCCAUAGGCAGGGAGACAGGUGGUGCAUGGUUGUCGUCAGCUCGUGUCGUGAGAUGUUGGGUUAAGUCCCGCAACGAGCGCAACCCUUGUGGUGUGUUGCCAGCGGUUCGGCCGGGCACUCACACCAGACUGCCGUGGACAACACGGAGGAAGGUGGGGAUGACGUCAAAUCAUCAUGCCCCUUAUGUCCUGGGCCACACACGUGCUACAAUGGCCGGUACAAAGGGUAGCGAACCCGUAAGGGGGAGCCAAUCCCAAAAAGCCGGUCUCAGUUCGGAUCGUGGGCUGCAACUCGCCCACGUGAAGUCGGAAUCGCUAGUAAUCGCGAAUCAGCAUGUCGCGGUGAAUACGUUCCCGGGCCUUGUACACACCGCCCGUCAAACCACGAGAGCUGGCAACACCCGAAGCCGGUGAGCGAACCGCAAGGACGCAGCCGUCGAAGGUGGGGUUGGUGAUUGGGGUUAAGUCGUAACAAGGUA
rnacentral:rRNA from 1 species